UUAAUAGUGUAAUUAGGGUUUAAAUUGACAUGAUUAAAAUAUAAUCCUAUAUCGACAAUUUUGAUUCUACAUUCUCCCCCUUUGUCGAUGGCAUAUAUGUUUUAACUCAUGUCUAGUCAAUAUUCUAUUUUAUCCUUAUGAGCAUGCUCCCCCUGAAUUAUUGACCCAUAAUAUUCAAUUUAAAAGCAGUGGAUCAUGCAUGAUUUCUCCCCCUUAAAACAAUAAGGUAUCGACAAAGUUAACAAUAGAUACCUAUGAAGUAUCUCCCCCUUAAUGAUAGGACAUAUCUAAUUUGUGGAGAAAAUAAAAUUUCAUACCUCAUUGAGCUUUAAUCACAAAUUUGAUUUGUGUGGUUGACCAAAUGUGACGUCUUGCUUAUAAGAGUGUUAGUCAAUCAUAAAGGAGAAAUAACAUGUAAUUUAUGCUCAUUGAU
rnacentral:lncRNA from 1 species